CACGUAGGCACCAAGCGUUUGUCCGGAUUUAUUGGGCGUAAAGAGCUCGUAGGUGGUUCGGUAAGUCGGAUGUGAAAUCUCCAGGCUCAACCUGGAGGGGUCAUUCGAUACUGCCGUGACUAGAGGUCGGUAGGGGAGUGUGGAAUUCCUGGUGGAGCGGUGAAAUGACGCAGAUAUCAGGAGGAACACCCGUAGCGAAGGCGGCACUCUGGGCCGAUACUGACACUGAGGAGCGAAAGCGUGGGGAGCGAACAGG
rnacentral:rRNA from 1 species